rnacentral:rRNA from 1 species
AACCUGGUUGAUCCUGCCAGUAGUCAUAUGCUUGUCUUAAAGAUUAAGCCAUGCAUGUCUAAGUAUAAAUAGUAUACAGUGAAACUGCGAAUGGCUCAUUAAAACAGUUAUAGUUUAUUUGAUAGUGCAAAUUACAUGGAUAACCGUGGUAAUUCUAGAGCUAAUACAUGCGCAAAUACCGGACGCAAGAAUGGUAGCAUUUAUUAGAUUUAACCAUCACAUGGUGAAUCAUAGUAACUUAGCUGACCGCGUGUAUACGUGGUAAAUCAUUCAAGUUUCUGCCCUAUCAGCUUUCGAUGGUAGUGUAUUGGACUACCAUGGCAGUCACGGGUAACGGAGAAUUAGGGUUCGAUUCCGGAGAGGGAGCCUGAGAAACGGCUACCACAUCUAAGGAAGGCAGCAGGCGCGUAAUUACCCAAUCCCGAUUCGGGGAGGUAGUGACAAGAAAUAGCAACUCGUGCGGGUUUCCGUUACGGGAUUGCAAUGAGAUAAGUCCAAAUCCGUAAACGAUUAACAAUUGGAGGGCAAGUCUGGUGCCAGCAGCCGCGGUAAUUCCAGCUCCAAUAGCGUAUACUUAAGUUGUUGCAGUUAAAAAGCUCGUAGUUGAAAUUCGAGUCAGUUACUAGUUGGCUUUUCGUCAGUUAGUUAAUUGAUUCUCCGUCUACAUCCCUUUUGCGCUUAGGGUUGCAGCUGGGCGGUAGACAUUUCCUUGAAAAAAUUAGAGUGUUCCAGGCAGGUCUUCGCCGGAAUACAUUAGCAUGGAAUAAUGGAAUAGGACUUGGGUCUUUUGUUGGUUUUAGGACUUGAGUAAUGAUUAAUAGGGACAGAUGGGGGCAUUAGUAUUUAAUUGUCAGAGGUGAAAUUCUUGGAUUUAUUAAAGACUAACUUAUGCGAAAGCAUUUGCCAAGGAUGUUUUCAUUAAUCAAGAACGAAAGUUAGGGGAUCAAAGACGAUCAGAUACCGUCGUAGUCUUAACUAUAAACUAUACCGACUCGAGAUCGGAAGGGUAAUAUAUUAGUCCCUUUCGGCAUCGUAAGAGAAAUCAAAGUCUUUGGGUUCUGGGGGGAGUAUGGUCGCAAGGCUGAAACUUAAAGGAAUUGACGGAAGGGCACCACCAGGAGUGGAGCCUGCGGCUAAUUUGACUCAACACGGGGAAACUUACCAGGUCAAAACAUGGAUGGGAUUGACGAUUAAAGCUCUUUCUUGAUUCUAUGGGUGGUGGUGCAUGGCCGUCUUAGUUGGUGGAGUGAUUUGUCUGGUUAAUUCCGAUAACGAACGAGACCUUAACCUGCUAACUAGUUUGCUUCUGAAUAAGAGGUAUAACUUCUUAGAGGGACUAUGUAUGUAAGUGCAUGGAAGUUUAAGGCAAUAACAGGUCUGUGAUGCCCCUAGACGUCCUGGGCCGCACGCGCGCUACACUGACACGUUCAGCGAGCUCAUUUACCUGUCCCGAAAGGGCACGGGAAAUCUUGUUAGGACGUGUCGUGCUGGGGAUAGAUCUUUGCAAUUAUAGAUCUUGAACGAGGAAUUCCUUGUAAGCACAGGUCAUCAGCCUGUGCUGAAUACGUCCCUGCCCUUUGUACACACCGCCCGUCGCUCCUACCGAUUUCGAGUGAUGUGGUGAACUAUCUGGACUGCGGAUGGGCUCGAACCAUUUGCGGGAAGUUUCGUAAACCUUAUCACUUAGAGGAAGGAGAAGUCGUAACAAGGUUUCCGUAGGUGAACCUGCAGAAGGAUCA